UGGUACUGCCAAGGCUGCAAAGGCUGC
rnacentral:piRNA from 1 species